rnacentral:rRNA from 1 species
AUUGAACGCUGGCGGCAUGCCUUACACAUGCAAGUCGAACGGCAGCACGGACUUCGGUCUGGUGGCGAGUGGCGGACGGGUGAGUAAUGCAUCGGAACGUGUCCUAAAGUGGGGGGAUAACGCAUCGAAAGAUGUGCUAAUACCGCAUAUUCUCUGAGGAGGAAAGUAGGGGAUCGAAAGACCUUAUGCUUUUGGAGCGGCCGAUGUCUGAUUAGCUAGUUGGUAGGGUAAUGGCUUACCAAGGCGACGAUCAGUAGUUGGUCUGAGAGGACGACCAGCCACACUGGGACUGAGACACGGCCCAGACUCCUACGGGAGGCAGCAGUGGGGAAUUUUGGACAAUGGGCGCAAGCCUGAUCCAGCCAUGCCGCGUGAGUGAAGAAGGCCU